rnacentral:rRNA from 1 species
UACGUAGGGUGCGAGCGUUGUCCGGAAUUAUUGGGCGUAAAGGGCUCGUAGGCGGUUUGUCGCGUCGGGAGUGAAAACCCAGGGCUUAACCCUGGGCUGGCUUUCGAUACGGGCAGACUAGAGGUAUGCAGGGGAGAACGGAAUUCCUGGUGUAGCGGUGAAAUGCGUAGAUAUCAGGAGGAACACCAAUGGCGAAGGCAGCUCGCUGGGACGUGACUGACGCUGAGACGCGAAAGCGUGGGGAGCAAACAGG